UUUCCAUGACAGACCUGGCGUACUUCUUUUUGUGCCUUUUGUAGCACCUUUGGAUUUCUCACCAUUUCUGACAUUGCCCAAUCUACGCUUGUUGAUGAUGUUUCGCCCCCCGCGCCGAAGAUAUUCUGAAUGAUUAAAACAGAAGGUAUAAGCUACGAAUUUGUCAAAGGUUAUAUAGAUUGUAAUAUGAAGGUUCUGAUAAAAAUAUAGAGUUAAUAAGUAAAUCUACUCUCCCAUUGCACAAAAAAAAAAAAAAUUCGUAACUAACCCAAAUGAUUGCUUUGAUUUCCUUGUCAGUAAGGGGAAAUUCAAGAUCAGCAAGUUGCUGAGUCUUUAAAAGAACAGUAACCAGGUCAUCCUUGGCUUCUCCUUCACCUAUUCUUCCACUCUCCAGAUUGGCUCUGUGUUCAUUAAUGAUGCCCUGAAGUAUCUCAUCACUC
rnacentral:lncRNA from 1 species